rnacentral:rRNA from 1 species
AUUGAACGCUGGCGGAAUGCUUUACACAUGCAAGUCGAACGGCAGCACGGACUUCGGUCUGGUGGCGAGUGGCGAACGGGUGAGUAAUGUAUCGGAACGUGCCCAGUCGUGGGGGAUAACGUAGUGAAAAUUACGCUAAUGCCGCAUACGAUCUAUGGAUGAAAGCGGGGGAUCGCAAGACCUCGCGCGAUUGGAGCGGCCGAUAUCAGAUUAGGUAGUUGGUGGGGUAAAGGCCAACCAAGCCAACGAUCUGUAGCUGGUCUGAGAGGACGACCAGCCACACUGGAACUGAGACACGGUCCAGACUCCUACGGGAGGCAGCAGUGGGGAAUUUUGGACAAUGGGCGCAAGCCUGAUCCAGCCAUUCCGCGUGCAGGAUGAAGGCCCUCGGGUUGUAAACUGCUUUUGUACAGAACGAAAAGGUUUCUACUAAUACUAGGAGCUCAUGACGGUACUGUAAGAAUAAGCACCGGCUAACUACGUACCAGCAGCCGCGGUAAUAC